GGAGGAAGGUGGGGAUGACGUCAAGUCCUCAUGGCCCUUACAGGCUGGGCUACACACGUGCUACAAUGGCAUCUACAGUGGGCAGCUAUUCCGCAAGGAUGCGCUAAUCUCCAAAAGAUGUCUCAGUUCGGAUUGUCCUCUGCAACUCGAGGGCAUGAAGGCGGAAUCGCUAGUAAUCGCGGAUCAGCAUGCCGCGGUGAAUACGUUCCCAGGCCUU
rnacentral:rRNA from 1 species